rnacentral:rRNA from 1 species
UACGCUUCUUUUUCACCGGAGCUUGCUCCACCGGAAAAAGAAGAGUGGCGAACGGGUGAGUAACACGUGGGUAACCUGCCCAUCAGAAGGGGAUAACACUUGGAAACAGGUGCUAAUACCGUAUAACAAUCGAAACCGCAUGGUUUUGAUUUGAAAGGCGCUUUCGGGUGUCGCUGAUGGAUGGACCCGCGGUGCAUUAGCUAGUUGGUGAGGUAACGGCUCACCAAGGCCACGAUGCAUAGCCGACCUGAGAGGGUGAUCGGCCACAUUGGGACUGAGACACGGCCCAAACUCAUACGGGAGGCAGCAGUAGGGAAUCUUCGGCAAUGGACGAAAGUCUGACCGAGCAACGCCGCGUGAGUGAAGAAGGUUUUCGGAUCGUAAAACUCUGUUGUUAGAGAAGAACAAGGAUGAGAGUAACUGUUCAUCCCUUGACGGUAUCUAACCAGAAAGCCACGGCUAACUACGUGCCAGCAGCCGCGGUAAUACGUAGGUGGCAAGCGUUGUCCGGAUUUAUUGGGCGUAAAGCGAGCGCAGGCGGUUUCUUAAGUCUGAUGUGAAAGCCCCCGGCUCAACCGGGGAGGGUCAUUGGAAACUGGGAGACUUGAGUGCAGAAGAGGAGAGUGGAAUUCCAUGUGUAGCGGUGAAAUGCGUAGAUAUAUGGAGGAACACCAGUGGCGAAGGCGGCUCUCUGGUCUGUAACUGACGCUGAGGCUCGAAAGCGUGGGGAGCAAACAGGAUUAGAUACCCUGGUAGUCCACGCCGUAAACGAUGAGUGCUAAGUGUUGGAGGGUUUCCGCCCUUCAGUGCUGCAGCUAACGCAUUAAGCACUCCGCCUGGGGAGUACGACCGCAAGGUUGAAACUCAAAGGAAUUGACGGGGGCCCGCACAAGCGGUGGAGCAUGUGGUUUAAUUCGAAGCAACGCGAAGAACCUUACCAGGUCUUGACAUCCUUUGACCACUCUAGAGAUAGAGCUUCCCCUUCGGGGGCAAAGUGACAGGUGGUGCAUGGUUGUCGUCAGCUCGUGUCGUGAGAUGUUGGGUUAAGUCCCGCAACGAGCGCAACCCUUAUUGUUAGUUGCCAUCAUUCAGUUGGGCACUCUAGCAAGACUGCCGGUGACAAACCGGAGGAAGGUGGGGAUGACGUCAAAUCAUCAUGCCCCUUAUGACCUGGGCUACACACGUGCUACAAUGGGAAGUACAACGAGUCGCGAAGUCGCGAGGCUAAGCUAAUCUCUUAAAGCUUCUCUCAGUUCGGAUUGUAGGCUGCAACUCGCCUACAUGAAGCCGGAAUCGCUAGUAAUCGCGGAUCAGCACGCCGCGGUGAAUACGUUCCCGGGCCUUGUACACACCG